AUUGAACGCUGGCGGCAGGCCUAACACAUGCAAGUCGAACGAGUGGCGGACGGGUGAGUAAUGUCUGGGACACUGCCUGAUGGCGGUGGAUAACUACUGGAAACGGUAGCUAAUACCGCAUACCAUCGGAUGUGCCCAGAUGGGAUUAGCUAGUAGGUGGGGUAAAGGUUCACCUAGGCGACGAUCCCUAGCUGGUAUGAGAGGAUGACCAGCCACAAUGGAACUGAGAACAGGUCCAGAAUCCUACGGGAGGCAGCAGUGGGGAAUAUUGCACAAUGGGCGCAAGCCUGAUGCAGCCAUGCCGCGUGUAUGAAGAAGGCCUUCGGGUUGUAAAGUACUUUCAGCGAGGAGGCGUUACCCGCAGAAGAAGCACCGGCUAACUCCGUGCCAGCAGCCGCGGUAAUAC
rnacentral:rRNA from 1 species